UACGUAGGUGGCAAGCGUUGUCCGGAUUUACUGGGCGUAAAGGGCGUGCAGGCGGUUUGUUAAGUGCAGGGUGAAAGCUCCCGGCUCAACUGGGAGAGGUCCUUGCAUACUGGCGAACUCGAGGGAGGCAGAGGAAAGUGGAAUUCCCGGUGUAGUGGUGAUAUGCGUAGAUAUCGGGAGGAACACCUGUGGCGAAGGCGGCUUUCUGGGCCUUACCUGACGCUGAGACGCGAAAGCGUGGGGAGCAAACGGG
rnacentral:rRNA from 1 species